UACGUAGGGCGCAAGCGUUAUCCGGAAUUAUUGGGCGUAAAGAGCUCGUAGGCGGCUUGUCACGUCGGGUGUGAAAGCCCGGGGCUUAACCCCGGGUCUGCAUUCGAUACGGGCUGGCUAGAGUGUGGUAGGGGAGAUCGGAAUUCCUGGUGUAGCGGUGAAAUGCGCAGAUAUCAGGAGGAACACCGGUGGCGAAGGCGGAUCUCUGGGCCAUUACUGACGCUGAGGAGCGAAAGCGUGGGGAGCGAACAGG
rnacentral:rRNA from 1 species